rnacentral:rRNA from 1 species
CCCUUAGAUGUUCUGGGCUGCACGCGCGCUACACUGCUGCAAUUAACGGGUUUUCUGUGCCGAAAGGCUUGGGGAAUCCUUUGAAUAUGCGGCGUGAUGGGGAUAGAAUAUUGUAAUUAUUACUCUUCAACGAGGAAUUCCUAGUAAGCGCGGGUCAGCAGCCCGCGCUGAUUACGUCCCUGCCCUUUGUACACACCGCCCGUCGCUACUACCGAUUGAAUGAUUUAGUGAGGACUUCGGACUGGGACCGAUGCGGCUUUCGGGCUGCGUCGGUAUUCUGGAAAGAUGUCCAAACUGUAUCAUUUAGAGGAAGUAAAANUCGUANCA